rnacentral:rRNA from 1 species
AGAGUUUGAUCCUGGCUCAGGAUGAACGCUAGCGGCAGGCCUAAUACAUGCAAGUCGAGGGGCAACAGGAGUAGCAAUACUUGCUGGCGACCGGCGCACGGGUGCGUAACACGUAUACAAUCUGCCUUUAACAGGGGGAUAGCCCGGAGAAAUCCGGAUUAAUACCCCAUAACAAUGGAAGAAGCAUUUCUUUCAUUUAAAAGCUCCGGCGGUUAGAGAUGAGUAUGCGUCUGAUUAGCUAGUUGGUGAGGUAACGGCUCACCAAGGCGACGAUCAGUAGGGGAUCUGAGAGGAUUAACCCCCACACGGAUACUGAGACACGGAUCCGACUCCUACGGGAGGCAGCAGUAAGGAAUAUUGGACAAUGCCCGCAAGGGUGAUCCAGCCAUGCCGCGUGCAGGAAGACGGCCCUAUGGGUUGUAAACUGCUUUUGUACCGGAGAAAACCUCCCCUUGCGAGGGGAGCUGAUAGUAUGUAAGAAUAAAGCUCGCU